rnacentral:rRNA from 1 species
UGCAAGUCGAGCGGAGAUGAGGUGCUUGCACCUUAUCUUAGCGGCGGACGGGUGAGUAAUGCUUAGGAAUCUGCCUAUUAGUGGGGGACAACAUUCCGAAAGGGAUGCUAAUACCGCAUACGUCCUACGGGAGAAAGCAGGGGAUCUUCGGACCUUGCGCUAAUAGAUGAGCCUAAGUCGGAUUAGCUAGUUGGUGGGGUAAAGGCCUACCAAGGCGACGAUCUGUAGCGGGUCUGAGAGGAUGAUCCGCCACACUGGGACUGAGACACGGCCCAGACUCCUACGGGAGGCAGCAGUGGGGAAUAUUGGACAAUGGGGGGAACCCUGAUCCAGCCAUGCCGCGUGUGUGAAGAAGGCCUUAUGGUUGUAAAGCACUUUAAGCGAGGAGGAGGCUACUGAGACUAAUACUCUUGGAUAGUGGACGUUACUCGCAGAAUAAGCACCGGCUAACUCUGUGCCAGCAGCCGCGGUAAUACAGAGGGUGCGAGCGUUAAUCGGAUUUACUGGGCGUAAAGCGUGCGUAGGCGGCUUUUUAAGUCGGAUGUGAAAUCCCCGAGCUUAACUUGGGAAUUGCAUUCGAUACUGGGAAGCUAGAGUAUGGGAGAGGAUGGUAGAAUUCCAGGUGUAGCGGUGAAAUGCGUAGAGAUCUGGAGGAAUACCGAUGGCGAAGGCAGCCAUCUGGCCUAAUACUGACGCUGAGGUACGAAAGCAUGGGGAGCAAACAGGAUUAGAUACCCUGGUAGUCCAUGCCGUAAACGAUGUCUACUAGCCGUUGGGGCCUUUGAGGCUUUAGUGGCGCAGCUAACGCGAUAAGUAGACCGCCUGGGGAGUACGGUCGCAAGACUAAAACUCAAAUGGAUUGACGGGGGCCCGCACAAGCGGUGGAGCAUGUGGUUUAAUUCGAUGCAACGCGAAGAACCUUACCUGGCCUUGACAUACUAGAAACUUUCCAGAGAUGGAUUGGUGCCUUCGGGAAUCUAGAUACAG